rnacentral:lncRNA from 1 species
UCCAAUCCUUUGUCGCAUCGUCUUCUUUUGUGGCCUUUUGCCUAAUCGACAUGUUGACUUCCGUAACUCCGAUUUUCUUAAUGUAAUGUCCACUCUUCUAAGCCCGAUGCUCGAACUAAUGGCAUGAAGUCUUCUGCCGACUCAUCAACUGAUCCUCCAACUCGACGUCCAAUCGUCUAACAUGUUCCACUCCAACCCAACAUUAAUUCUUCCUGCUUUAAUUGUCUUUCCUGAUCGAAGCUAGUCCUACGCACUCAAAACGCGGAUUAGAUCAUAACAUUGGUUUCAUC